GGGUGAAAAAGAACAAUAAAUUAAACUGUUUAACCACAUAUGUGUUUGUAUUUGAAAACAUCAGGAGGUUUCGCGUAUUUGAGAGCAAAAACGUGUUUUUCACGAAUUCCCUCAUCACUUUAAAUAUUUUGAGUUCCCUGUGACGACACUCGCAUGAGUUAUCGGUCAGUAGCAGCAGACAAAAAUGGCGCAAAAUAACUUUGCAUUUCUUGCUUUGUUGGUUGUAACGUCAACAGUUACAUUGGCUAGUGCCGAUGAACAAACGAAAACUGUGGAAUUCAACGUAAAACCCGGCGGAAUGGUGCACACGUUCACUGAGAAAAUGUCUCAAUUUAAUCAUCAAGAAAAAUGUGCAGACGACUAAUUCCUCCUCCUUUCACUGAGAGAAUAUGAAUGUUCAUUCACAUAUGCAUCACAAGGGGGAACCAACGAGCAAUGGCUGAUGAGUGUGGGCCUGAGCGACGACGACAGUCUGUUCUCCUGCUCUUUGUGGAGACCCCAAGGGAAGUCCUACCUGUUUUUCACACAGUUCAAGGCUGAGCUGAAAGGAGCAAAGAUUGAGUAUUACAUUUACAUUUAAGUCAUUUAGCAGACGCUCUUAUCCAGAGCGACUUACAAAUUGGUGAAUUCACCUUCUGUAUGCCAGUGCAUAUGUAAGUAUCCACCAUAUACAGAUGGGUCAUGUAAUUUGCUCUCCUAUCAGCAUUUCUACAUAAUAAUGCAUUGGAGCACAAUCUUUGCUAACAUGUUUUUGUGGUGUAAAGUAGAUAAGGUAUAUGUCCAAUGUCAGCAUAUUGUCGCAGCAGCAUUGAUCCGUCUUCUCCGCUGGUCUCCUGGUUCAAGUGCGCUUCUGUCUGUCUCAGUGAUAAUGAUAUAGAACUGCAUAUCCUAAUGGAAACAUGUCUUCUCCAUUGACUUGAAUGUUGCUGUGUUCAGAGUACAAACAACUCUCAGACUAGUGUCACAUCACAUGUGAGUUGCACACAGUUCUAAGGCAGUGGUUCCUAAACCGGUCUGUUCUGUGUCUGUCCUCUGAUCUACUAUGUAAACUAGACUGAUGUUUGUAGUCAUGACGCAGUUUAUUGCCACAUUUUCACACAAAUCAAUGGCAACCCACCAGUGUUUACCAAAACACCAUACAGGGAAACACUGUUCUGAGGAGUCUGUCAGGCGAGGAGGCUUUGUACAUCGCCGCACAUACACUGCUCUCCCACAGGCCUCUUGACCAUCCUCCCUCGCAAGGACAAAGCCUCAGACAUACGCUGUCGUCAGAACAGAACCGUUCAACCUCUCCUCCUGACGGCACUGUCCCCUGUGAAAAGACAGAGAAAAAAACAACACUCACUAAACAUUGGGAUAAAAAUAACCAGCACUCCUGAGAAGCAGAACAUCUCCUCGACCUUGUCACUCCACUAUAACUCUCCUUGCCUCUGUCGUGAUGAGUUUCUCUCUUUUCCAUUCACACUUUCAUCCCCUUGUUUGUUAUCCCUUUUCUGGUCAAUCCCCUGCUCCCAUCUCUCCCCGUCAUCGUCUCCACAGUCCCAGACUGUGGCGGGAGGACAGAGGGAUGUGACUUUGAAGGAAGAUGAAUUCACUGUGGGGGAUUCUACAGUGACCCACAAAGAUGGGAAGUUCCGCGCUGAGCUCUCCAAACUGACUAUUAUUGGCCGGACACGACGCGAUGAGCUUUGAUUGGCUGGAAAUCCGAAUGACUGUUGUAAUAUCAUCAAAUGGUGACAUCCAGGCGUGCUCUCAAGGCAGGCCAUUGUGCUCUAAUGUCGACAACAGUGGCAAGUGAAGGACGAUAUUCAAGCACGAAGGACGAUACAGUAAUGAGUGACAGCCUUAGACCUUGGUGGUCUACAAAUAUGCUGUUGAAUAAAUCUAUUGUUUUUAUUUGGAGUAUUAUGGCUUUACAUGGAAAAUUCAUUAUGUUCCAUACUGUAUGAGAAUGCAUAUUGGGAUGUCUGAUCUUAACGGGUGUAGAGAGAUAUAGAUUCAGAGGAUGUAUUGGUAUUAUGCUAAGCCAGGGAAAUGUGAGUAAUCAUUUGUCUUCUUCGUGCGCACGUUAAGAUAUAUAUACAUUUUUCCAGUCUGCUUCUUCUCUAAGCAAGUGAAUGGUUAGUACAGAUAAUGUAGAGCAUGGAGCCCCAGUUUCUAUGUUCUUUUGAUCUAGAUAGAGCACCUGAUUCAACCAACCAAUCAUCAUUCAAUGCAGUUGAUUUAGUUUUUCUCCCUCCUCUCUCACUCCUACCAACAGUCUUAAUGAAGCUAGGUGGAGCUUUAGAACAGAUGCUUAUUUGGCCUUCCAGGAUUAGAGACAUAUUGCCUUGAUGUAGAGGAUAGUUAGCUUGCCAACACAUACAAGGUUCAUCCCUGUCUGUCUAGAGGAGGCCCUCACUCAGUGUUGAUAGUGGAGUCCCUUGGCUCCCAAAAGGAAAUACCACCGGGCACUUUUUUAAAUAUUUUAUUUUCUACUCCUUUGAUUUCUAAAUCACAAUGUGCAACUGAUGCUCCAAUAAAAGUCAUAUUGUCUGGGAAUGUGAAAUGUGUGUUCUUAUUUGUUUUGACACAGCUAAGAUUUCACACUGCUGUCCAUGCUCAGGUUUGAUGGUUUUCAGCUUGGAUUACUUUCAGAGUUCUGUGUGCUGAUCUCAUGCUCUUUUUUUAUAUUAUUAGGACACACAUUUUCAGUCCAGAAUAUUCCAACAUUAUUACGUUCCUUAUGAAAAUGUAGCUAUAACACAAAGACAAUUCAAUGUGCAUAAUGUUUUUGGGCUGUUUGCAAACAAUGUAAAAGAAAUAAUGAUAAAAUUGUUGAGUUAAUAAAGCCGAAUACAAACAUGGUC